UUUUAAUGACCAUAUUGGUCCGUAAGUUAUUCUUUUCUUUGGCAUUUCCGGCUUUACUGCCUGAAUAUGUCUCAUUUAGUUGUAAACCCAAAAGAAGCACCAUUAAAAGGGUGUUGGGUAGAGAUUGUAGCUGAGAACUGGGUCAAAGAGGACAUUUUGUACAUAACUGAUAACUCGUACUCGUCAGCCUAUAAACGAAACAUGUUGAUCGGUGGAGCUGAACCGGUUGUUAAAGUUGAGAAUUUAAAUAAGAUAAUUUAUAUUUCAAUAGUUGUGAUGGUAUUCACUUAAAUAUUUGUCCUAUUAGAUACCUAUGAAGAGGCUAGGCAAAAUCUCCCCCGUGCGAAAAAAGGUUUGCCAAUUCUGCCAAAUGAUCCCUCUCAAACUGGAAGAGGUUGUCGACAAAUUACUUUGAAAAGCAGAAAACUGCCUGGUGAAGCUACCACAGAACAAGAGAGUGAUGUCAGUCUGAACGUUGAAAGUUACUUUGCUACUACCUCCAAGUCAUUACUUAAGACCAACACAACAGCGAGUAAAGGAAAAGGAAUCGCUAAACGAUCAGCACCUGGACCAAGUAAAAUCAGUUUACUACCUAUUCCACCCUCUGGAGUCUGGACUUCAGAAUAAAAAGAAGAAGGAAAAGCCACACGAUACAAAUCAAGUAGAGACUGUACCAAAAGCAAUUAAUACACCACGACCACAACAGAUCCAGAAGUCAUCAUCUACUACCUGUUUAGUGCCAGCAGAUACGUCCAGCAAUCAACCAUCAGCACGUUCUAUUACCGACAAUGAUGGUAACGAAUCAUGUUUGGAUUUCAAUAACGAUUGCACGGAUAUUGAGCAGAAUAGUCAGGAGAUCAAUGACGAAAUGUUGUGUACUGGCUUUCCAAAUGAUACACAAGGAAUGUCAAAUGGGAACAUGGUACAAUCGUUUUCUAUGGACACCGAAUAUCUGACGGCACCAUGCAGAAAUAGGAAUAGCAGCCAGGUCCGUGUUUUCAGUGUUGGCCCAAAUGAACGAAAAGUUAAACAUGAUUGAAAAAACGGUUGCGAAACCAGUCACCGACGAGAAUAAUGAAAAUGAUUCCAGCGACGAGGAAGAUGACUGACUACCCCAGGCGGUCUUGGCGGAUUGGUCAAAAAGGGGAGACAGGGAAAAGGGAUGAGUUAAAAUGGCCGCCGAAGCCAAUAUUUUACAUCAAAAUAGGGAGAUUUCAAACAAUUAAAUCGGCACUAUGGAGAAUUUAACCCUAGCGAAAUAAAUAGAGCAUAUACUAUGAUAUGUCCUCUUUUUUUUAGUGCAAAAAUUACAAAUAAAUCUCAGAAGCGAAUCUGUUAAGGUCUACUUUUGUAAGACACACUC